UAGGGAUUACACCUAUUUUUGCAUUUUUUGUUUAAACUGGAAUGCUAGUUGCAUAAUUUUAAAUUAGACAACAAAGAUGCCCCCAAGACUCAAUCAUUUUGAUCCUGAUAUAGCAUUAUAUACAUCAACAACUACCUUAAAAUUGCUCAUAAAGUUGGAAUUUGUCCCUAAUCGCCCCAUUUUACGGUACGCAGUGAGUAACAGUGUAUAUCGGUGUAUAUCGGAACGUAGCCUUCGUGUGAGUGUUAUAAAGUCUUAUUGAAUUUAUUUUCUAAAGUACCUUCCGCUUCAACAGAAAUAUUUAAAAAAGCAUGUUCUCUAAUAUUAAGCAACUAUGUUUGCCAUAUUCUGAAAGCAAUCUCUUGAUUUCUGCUUAUUAGCUAAGAAAUAGAUGGGGUAAUAACAUUGUUAUUUGUAAUAAGUUGUUCGGCUUCCAUGGCAGACAUACAAACUACAUAGGUACCUACAUUGUCAAAUAUGUUAUGUGUAUAAUCUAUUAGAGGGCGAUAUUAUAUACUAUAGUAGUAUCAAACUAUAGUAGUAUCAUUGUUUUUAAAUAAACAGUUAUAAAUACAUUAUUGUGUAGAAGAGACAAAUAAAUACAAAAAUAUUUGGCACUGGUUUGAUAAACCAGACAUUUAGUACCAAAGUAUUAUACUUGAUAUUAACCUGUCAAUAGGUGCCAGUGAAACCCAAACUAAACAAAAAAAACCUAAUAUGGUUGAGUGCACCUUAAUAAUUUAAGGUAGUUUAGGUUAGUAAUUUAAGGGUAUAAAAUGACUCCAGUGAACAUGAUAGAAGGUACAUCACCCAAAAUAGUUACAUCAAGGCGUCGCAUUAAAUACGUAAGGAGUAAGUGGCGCGUCCAUGAGUUUGAGAUAUGGAGCACUGAAAUGAUAUGUCGAGUGGUGACACUGCGAAUGAAGGAUUCAGUCUUGGUGUGGCUCGGAAGCAAGGAGGAGCCAGCGUUGGGGGAGCUAGCGCUCGGCGUGCCGGCACCGGGCGCGCCACGAGCGGCUCUGGCCUCGGCGCUGCUCGGCGCGGACGGCGCCCUCACCACCUCCAUGGCGCGUCGACUCGCCGCCACACUCAACCACCCUGCGUACGUCGCCUGCGGCAGUAUGUUCGAUAGGUUCACUUUGCCGCUUGUUGAACGAGCACUUAUUACAGAAAUUAAAAGUAGCCCUGAAUGUUUCUGAGACCUGACCACAGAGGACACACUGCAGCUGCGGACGGCGAGCGGCAUUAUUGAUUUAGCUUAGAUUUAUAGAUAGCACCUCAGUCAUCCGUAAAGUAUUCGAAAUGGCGGAAUUAAUACUGAGAUUAAACUAUAAAAAUAGUUUUAUUUAAAAAUGUAGUCUUCUGAGCACGAGCGUAAGGGGUUUUGCUGAGAAGUUGCGUGGAAGCUUUAUUUAUAUUUUUUUAUAAAUUACAUAUGUAUAUAAGAAUAAAAUAAUAAAUAAUAACUAACCGCUAGAUAUGAAAAACUAAGAAAUAAAUUUUCACUUACAGAAAAGGAACUUAAGAUCUGGUUAAAAUUAAUUUAAAAAUGGAACAUCCUGCAUUUAUCCAUUGGAAGUUGUUAGUUAGUGCCUACAUACAAACUAGUAUUUUCUUUGACUUAGUUUUAUGGGAUUUAGUACAAUUAUAGUGUCGCUUGACCCGUGGCCAAUAAAUGUAAUCAAUACUUAAGUAUCAAUACUUUAUUUGACACAACACAUUACGAUAAUUUAGAAUGCAAGGUAGUUUAAUAACUUAAAAGUACAUAAUAUUAUUAUAUUAUCCGCAACAUGCUUUGUCAGAUUAUAUAUACAUAAGUAUUGUCUAUGAAAAAUACUGGUCAUUUGAAACUUGAUUAAUUUAUGUAUGGCUGGCAAUAAAUUGUAAAAUCAAAAUAAUGUACAAAUUCGGGUAUUUUUUUAUUGAUUAGUUUUUUGUUUUGUAUAUGUAAUGAAACCUAUUAAUGUAGUGACAUUAGUAUGUUUUUCAUCAAUAUGGACACAUUACAAAUAUAAGUAAUCAUGGGAUAA